CCAGCAACUGCUGGCCUGUGCCAGGGUGCAAGCUGAGCACUGGAGUGGAGUUUUCCUGUGGAGGAAAGAUGAGUGAGAGCAUCAACUUCUCUGACAACCUAGGCCAGUAAGUACCAGGUGUGUGGUGAUGCCAGGCAUGCCCUUCCCCAGCAUCAGGUCUCCAGAGCUGCAGAAGACGACGGCCGACUUGGAUCACAAGCCCAGGCCAGGGGCCCCCAAGAAAGGCUCUGGUGGAGAACCUGUGCAUGAAGGCUGUCAACCAGUCCAUAAGGCAGGGCCAUCAGGCACCAAAGGGAUUCUGCCAGCAUAGUGCUCCUGGAUUAGUGAUACACCCGGCACCCUGUCCUGGACAAGCUGUUGGCCUGGAUCUGAGCCCU
rnacentral:lncRNA from 1 species